GAUGAACGCUGGCGGCGUGCCUAAUACAUGCAAGUCGAGCGAACGGACGAGAAGCUUGCUUCUCUGAUGUUAGCGGCGGACGGGUGAGUAACACGUGGAUAACCUACCUAUAAGACUGGGAUAACUUCGGGAAACCGGAGCUAAUACCGGAUAAUAUUUUGAACCGCAUGGUUCAAAAGUGAAAGACGGUCUUGCUGUCACUUAUAGAUGGAUCCGCGCUGCAUUAGCUAGUUGGUAAGGUAACGGCUUACCAAGGCAACGAUGCAUAGCCGACCUGAGAGGGGACUCGCCACAACGGAAACUGGGAAAGGGGCCAACCCCCAAGGGAGGGAGGAGGGGGGGAACCUCCCGAAAGGGGCAAAAGCCGACGGGGGAAAGGCGCGGUGAGGGAGAAAGGUUUUGGGUUGGAAAAACUCUUUUUUUGGGGAAAAAAAUAUGUGUAAGAAAAGGGCCACAUCUUGAGGGUCCCAAAUAAAAAAGCCACGGCAAACUACGU
rnacentral:rRNA from 1 species